rnacentral:rRNA from 1 species
GAGAUAGCUGGUUCUCCCCGAAAUAGCUUUAGGGCUAGCCUCAAGCGUAGAGAAACGGAGGUAGAGCACUGAAUGUCCUAGGGGGUAUUGCACUUACCGAAGACUAUCAAACUCCGAAUGCCGUUUUCUUUUACUUGGGAGUCAGACUGUGGGUGAUAAGAUUCAUAGUCAAAAGGGCAACAGCCCAGAUCGUCAGCUAAGGUCCCUAAAUGUACGUUAAGUGGUAAAGGAUGUGGGAUUGCACAGACAACCAGGAUGUUGGCUUAGAAGCAGCCACUCAUUUAAAGAGUGCGUAAUAGCUCACUGGUCGAGUGAUCCUGCGCCGAAAAUUUCCGGGGCUAAAACGUACUACCGAAGCUACGGCAUCAUUUAUGAUGGGUAGGGGAGCUUCGUAUGCAGGCUGAAGCAUGACCGUAAGGACAUGUGGACAGUAUACGAGUGAGAAUGUUGGCAUGAGUAGCGAGACGUGGGUGAGAAUCCCACGGGCCGUAAACCCAAGGUUUCCAGGGGAAGGUUCGUCCGCCCUGGGUUAGUCGGGACCUAAGCCGAGGCCGAAAGGCGUAGGUGAUGGACAACAGGUUGAUAUUCCUGUACCGCCAAUAAGCGUUUGAGAGAUGGAGUGACACAGUAGGAUAAGCUAACCGUACUGUUGGUUAUGUACGGCUAAGCAUUGAGGCAGUCUAAAUAGGCAAAUCCGUUUAGACAAUGCUAGGAUGUGAUGGGGAAGCCCUUCGGGGCGAAGUAGCUGAUUUCACACUGUCAAGAAAAGCUUCUAUCGAGUUUAAAGGCGCCCGUACCGUAAACCGACACAGGUGGGUGAGGAGAGUAUCCUAAGGCCAGCGAGAGAACUAUUGUUAAGGAACUCGGCAAAAUGACCCCGUAACUUAGGGAGAAGGGGUGCCUGUCUAUGACAGGCCGCAGAGAAUAGGCCCAAGCGACUGUUUACCAAAAACACAGGUUUCUGCUAAGUCGCAAGACGAUGUAUAGGAGCUGACGCCUGCCCGGUGCUGGAAGGUUAAGGGGAUCUGUUAGAGCAAUCGAAGCAGUGAACUUAAGCCCCAGUAAACGGCGGCCGUAACUAUAACGGUCCUAAGGUAGCGAAAUUCCUUGUCGGGUAAGUUCCGACCCGCACGAAAGGCGUAACGAUUUGGGCACUGUCUCAACAAUAGACUCGGUGAAAUUGUAAUCCCGGUGAAGAUGCCGGGUACCUGCGACAGGACGGAAAGACCCCAUGGAGCUUUACUGUAGCUUGACGUUGGGUCUUGGUACUACAUGUACAGGAUAGGUGGGAGACUAUGAAGCAUGGACGCCAGUCUGUGUGGAGUCAUCCUUGGGAUACCACCCUUGUAGUACUGGGAUCCUAACCAUAGGCCUUGAAUCAGGUCUUGGAACACCGUCAGGUGGGCAGUUUGACUGGGGCGGUCGCCUCCUAAAAAGUAACGGAGGCGCUCAAAGGUUUCCUCAGCACGGUCGGAAAUCGUGCGAAGAGUGUAAAGGCAAAAGGAAGCUUGAUUGCAAGACAUACAGGUCGAGCAAGGACGAAAGUCGGA